GUGCUCGCUUCGGCAGCACAUAUACUGAAGUUGGAACAAUCCAGAGAAGAUUACCAUGGCCCUGUGCAAGGAUGACACGCACGUUCGUGAAGUGUUCCAUAUCUUU
rnacentral:snRNA from 1 species